ACUAUUUUGGCAGAGGAGUGCAAUAAAUUUAGAAUUUAUUAAUGUGGAUUAAUAGUCUAUAAGUAGUA
rnacentral:tRNA from 1 species